GACGAACGCUGGCGGCGUGCUUAACACAUGCAAGUCGAACGGAAAGGCCCUGCUUUUGUGGGGUGCUCGAGUGGCGAACGGGUGAGUAACACGUGAGUAACCUGCCCUUGUCUUUGGGAUAACUCCUGGAAACUGGGGCUCAUACCGGAUAGGAGCUCCUGCUGCAUGGUGGGGGUUGGAAAGUUUCGGCGGUUUGGGAUGGACUCGCUGCUUCUCAGCUUGUUGGUGGGGUAGUGGCUUACAAAGGCUUUGACGGGUAGCCGGCCUGAGAGGGUGACCGGCCACAUGGGGACUGAGGGACGGACCAGACGCCUACGGGAGGCAGCAGUCGGGAAUAUUGCACAAUGGGCCGAAGCGUGAUGCAGCAACGCCGCGUGCGGGAUGACGGCCUUCGGGUUGUAAACCGCUUUCGCCGGUGACGAAGCGGGAGUGACGGUAAUGGGUAAAGAAGCACCGGCUAACUACGUG
rnacentral:rRNA from 1 species